rnacentral:rRNA from 1 species
GUGAGGAAUAUUGGUCAAUGGGCGUGAGCCUGAACCAGCCAAGUCGCGUGAAGGAAGAAGGAUCUAUGGUUCGUAAACUUCUUUUGCAGGGGAAUAAAGUGCAGGACGUGUCCUGUUUUGUAUGUACCCUGAGAAUAAGGAUCGGCUAACUCCGUGCCAGCAGCCGCGGUAAUACGGAGGAUCCGAGCGUUAUCCGGAUUUAUUGGGUUUAAAGGGUGCGUAGGUGGUUUGAUACGUCAGCGGUGAAAGUUUGCAGCUUAACUGUAAAAAUGCCGUUGAAACUGUCGGACUUGAGUGUAAAUGAGGUAGGCGGAAUGCGUGGUGUAGCGGUUAAAUGCAUAGAUAUCACGCAGAACUCCGAUUGCGAAGGCAGCUUACUAAGCUACAACUGACACUGAAGCACGAAAGCGUGGGGAUCAAACAGGAUUAGAAACCCGUGUAGUCC